AGUUCCUCCAGUAUAUCGUUGUUUUCCUCAGUCGAGACGUACUUAAUCAGUUUCAGCUUCGAGGAUGUAACGUGUAAUGCACUGGACAUACAGUAAUGUGCUUUAAUUUGCCUUUGAUAAUUUACAUAUAGAAUUCUGCUCCGACUGAUUCUGCCUUUUGUCCGCCGUAUUUACAUAUGCGUACUAUUUUGUAUCCAAAUUGCGGGCAAAAUGUCGGGCCGUAUAUGCAGGAACAUGAAUAACACACGAUUAUAUUUUCGAUUUCCGAUCCGUAUAAUGAUUAAUAAUGUGCCUUUAAGAAUACAAUAUUAUAUUAUUGAAAUUUACUAAACGUGGCGUGAGAGCGUGAGAGUGAAGCGAAUUGCGUGAGACUCACGCCGAAUGCGUGAGAGUUGAGAGGUCUGGCAUGCAAGUGCUGGGGGGGGGGGGGCUGGUGAUGAUCAUGUGCAGGGGCGGAUACAGGGUUGAUACAGGGUUUUUGAUGAUCAGUUACUACAUUCACCCAACUAGUAGGGGGGUCCGGUCCCCUGGAAAAAUUUUAAAAUUUGGGGCUCUGAAACAGCACUUUUUAAAAAUUAAUUUAAUGAUUAGAAAAUGCAUGUUUUUAAGUGAAUUUUUGACAAAUUAGUUAUAUACAUGAUGAUUGAAGGUUAUAGAUUUUCUUUCUUUGGAAAAUCUGACAGGUUUAUGUAAACCUGUCGAAUGCGCCCCUGAUGUGAAUGUGCGAACGUGUGGUGCCGAUGAGCACGUGAACUUAUUUUUUGUAAGUGUGUUUUACUUUUACGUUAAUUUGCUGCAAAAAAGCGUAUAUAGAAACAUGUUAUUAAUAAUAUUUCUAUCUUACUUAACAGUAGUUUAAUUUAGUGCAUUUAAAUUUUGGCAGGGACAUGCCAUGGGGUGCACAUUUUUGUUGGAGGGGUGCACAAUUUCUCCUGGGGGGGGGGGGAAUUGGGAAGGUGCGCACCCCCAGAAAAUCCGUCCUUGCCGGCAACGCCAGCAGCACCGCUGCCAGGAAAUUUUUAACAAAAUAUAUUUGCAGGAAUUUUCUUGCAUCUUGCAAGAAAUGUUGUCAUCUUAUACACUGGAAUGCCAAAUGAUUUAAUUAUUGUAAAAACUCGUAAAGAAUAUCACAAGUUUAUCACAAUGUGCAACACCAUACAUUCUCUGAAAUCUACAUAUGCAGGAAGUUUUUUAUUAAUGACUCACACAGGAAAUUUUAUUUUUGGAUUUUGAUGCCAGGAAGAGAAAUAUAUUUUCUAGGCCUAUGUAGGUGAUAGCACAUUUCAAAUUCAGGGGUUGAAAUGAGAGGGUGCCUUAGUUGUGACUAGAUAUUCGGCGAAGGUAUAGUCCUUCAGGGUGACUGAAAAAAACCUUAAAAUAAUAAUUAUAAAUGAAAGGAAGCCUGAAAAAUAAUAUCCUAGUGCUGUAUAUUAAGGGACGGACCAUUAGAAAAGUGAUGGGGGGGGGGGNNNNNNNNNNNNNNNNNNNNNNNNNNNNNNNNNNNNNGGGGGGGGGGGAUUUUCUAAGAGGCAAUAUUUUUUUUUGUACACCUAUAGAAGAAAUUUUUGUUUUUCUCACGUGAUGGUUGGAAAUUUUUUUUUUUAAAGAGGCCCUACAGUAAUUUUUUAGGCAAGUAUUGUUUACAUUUUUUUGUUAUUGUCGCUACUUGACAUGUGCACCACAGUAUGCAUGCGUUUUCUGGUGUGCAAAAGUACUCGUACUCAUGGAUACUGCAUGUAAGAUACAGCCAAACGAAUCUUUGUGGAUUGAGUCCCCUACUUAAGGUGGCUUUCGACUAAAAAAUGACUGUAGGGCCCCUUUAAGUGAAAUUUAUAGGCCUAUUAGUGGUGUAGUCCUGGAAUGUUGACAAGGGGGGCUCUCCAAAGUGCCCUGAAUUGGCGGGAGGGGAGGGGAGGUACAAUAAGAUAUUUUGGGAAUUCUAAAUUUUUUUGGGGUUUAUUCUAGUAAUUCUGGGACAAACAUUUGACGUUAUUCUUAUUAAAAACAAGCCGAAGCGAGGGCCGAAGGCCCGAGGAAAUUUUUAAAUUUAGAGAGUCUGAAAUGCCAUUUCCUGGACUUUGGGUAAGAUUUGACAGAAUUCUGAUGGUCAGAAAACGUACAGCGUUUUAGUAUGUCGAAAUUUACAAUUUAGUGAUACUAAAUGGGCGAAGGCGUAUUUAAUUAACUAUAUAUUGGAUAAGUUGCAGGAAAUUAUGGGUAAUAUCUUCAUUCUUUGCAGUUUGUCAUGAUGGAUAAUGUAGCAGCAAUUAAACUUAAUCAAUUGUCAGUGUUUUAAAGUUAUAUUAUUUAAAUGUAUUGAGUUGGCACAGAUUUGUCCUUGGCACAUAUGGUAAAGACCCUACAAUUUUUGAGCCUCUGACCGUAUAGUGAUGACGUAAACUUUAUGUCUAUGCGCCAAGGGGACUGACCUUAAACCUUGGCAGCCUACUUGCAUGGGGGGUGGUGAGCUAACCUGUGCCUUGCCCGCGGUGGAAACAAGUGCUGCCUGCUCUCUCAGACAAAAUGUCUCUUCACCCUGCUGACGAACGUUAGAGGACACAUGAUUUUGAAAAAAGGAUUAUUAGCAAAUUAUUGGGGGGGGGGCUGCAGCCCACAGCCCCUCCGCUUGAUACGGCCCUGGAUAGAGUUUAAAUCAGACAAAACAGGAUCGGUACUUCAACUGCCAAUUUGCUAUGGCGCAUAAACAACGCGAUAUAAAGAUUACAAAAAUCAUUAUUGUGUUAAAUGAUGAGUGAAAAUGAGAUGCAAUUCUAAAGAACAUUCUCGUUUACUGAUAUUUUUUUUGUGUGUUUUUGACGUUGUUAAGAUUAUGCAACAUGCCAAAAUAUAGGGGGGGGCUCAGCACGCUGGUCAUAUUCGAUCAGCAAAUUUUCUCCCAGGACCGCAGGCUAAUAUUGUCAGUGGACUUGCGGUUUACUUUUCUAAUGGUCCGUCCCUAAGUAUUUCAUUCUACUUUUGCAUAUAUAAUUUGUCGGUGGCAUAUUAAUUAAACAAUUACUGCUUUUUUAUGUUAUCCAUGUACAAAGAGAAUAUUUCAUACCACAGUGAUAUAGGGAGAUCUGAUCUGAGCCCCCACACCAAAUAUGCCUAAGGGCCCCCUCUUCCUCCUUUACGCCACUGGUGCAAUGCAAGUCAGUGCAACUCGAUGGGUUAACUAGACACAUACAUGGCACAUGGGCAGAUAGGUCAGUUAACUCAUUAAUUGCCAGCGCACUCCCCUUGACAAGUAGAAUCGUCUAGUGUUAGACAGAGUAAAAUAAUGAAGUAGGGCACAUCGGGGCGCAAUGCAACUCACUAUUCUUAUUUAGUUCAAAGUUCUUGUUUUAGUCUUACUGUAUUUAGUCAAAAAUCCUUAUUUC
rnacentral:lncRNA from 1 species